rnacentral:rRNA from 1 species
UAGGGAAUCUUCCGCAAUGGACGCAAGUCUGACGGAGCAACGCCGCGUGCGUGAAGAAGGAUUUCGGUUCGUAAAACUCUGUUGUUAGAGAAGAACAGCGCAUAGAGUAACUGUUAUGCGUGUGACGGUAUCUAACCAGAAAGCCACGGCUAACUACGUGCCAGCAGCCGCGGUAAUACGUAGGUGGCAAGCGUUGUCCGGAUUUAUUGGGCGUAAAGCGAGCGCAGGCGGUCAAUUACGUCUGAUGUGAAAGCCCCCGGCUCAACCGGGGAGGGUCAUUGGAAUCUGGUGGACUUGGGUGCAGAAGAGGAGAGUGGAAUUCCAUGUGUAGCGGUGAAAUGCGUUGAUAUAUAGAGGAACACCAGUGGCGAAGGCGACUCUCUGGUCUGUAACUGACGCUGAGGCUCGAAAGCGUGGGUAGCAAACAGG